rnacentral:misc_RNA from 1 species
GCAAACUUGGUCAUUUAGAGGAAGUAAAAGUCGUAACAAGGUUUCCGUAGGUGAACCUGCGGAAGGAUCAUUACAGCGCCCGUCGGGGUCCGUCGCGUACGCGCGGCGCACCCCGACUUUGGCCUCCACCCGUGUUUACAUGACCUCUUGUUGCUUUGGCGGGCUGGCCGCGUGGGUCGCGUUUUGGCGCCUUCCGGCCGCCGGAGAUCUCUCUGGAUAACGCCCGUCAAGGGACCCUUUGAACUCUUUGCAGAAGUGAUGGUUUCGUCUGAGUUUUGAUAUAUAAGUUUUGAUAAAACUUUCAACAAUGGAUCUCUUGGUUCCGGCAUCGAUGAAGAACGCAGC